UACGUAGGGGGCAAGCGUUAUCCGGAAUUACUGGGUGUAAAGGGUGAGUAGGCGGCAUGGUAAGCCAGAUGUGAAAGCCUUGGGCUUAACCCGAGGAUUGCAUUUGGAACUAUCAAGCUAGAGUACAGGAGAGGAAAGCGGAAUUCCUAGUGUAGCGGUGAAAUGCGUAGAUAUUAGGAAGAACCCCAGUGGCGAAGGCGGCUUUCUGGACUGAAACUGACGCUGAGGCACGAAAGCGUGGGGAGCGAACAGG
rnacentral:rRNA from 1 species